rnacentral:misc_RNA from 1 species
GAUGAAGAACGUAGCGAAAUGCGAUAAGUAAUGUGAAUUGCAGAAUCCAGUGAAUCAUCGAAUCUUUGAACGCACAUUGCGCCCGCCAGCAUUCUGGCGGGCAUGCCUGUUCGAGCGUCAUUUCAACCCUCGACCUCCCUUUGGGGAAGUCGGCGUUGGGGACCGGCAGCACACCGCCGGCCCUGAAAUGGAGUGGCGGCCCGUCCGCGGCGACCUCUGCGUAGUAAACCAACUCGCACCGGAACCCCGACGUGGCCACGGCGUAAAACACCCAACUUCUGAACGUUGACCUCGAAUCAGGUAGGACUACCCGCUGAACUUAAGCAUAUCAAUAAGCGGAGGA